UACAGAGGUCUCAAGCGUUGUUCGGAUUCAUUGGGCGUAAAGGGUGCGUAGGCGGCGCGGUAAGUCGGGUGUGAAAUCUCGGAGCUUAACUCCGAAACUGCAUUCGAUACUGCCGUGCUUGAGGACUGGAGAGGAGACUGGAAUUUACGGUGUAGCGGUGAAAUGCGUAGAUAUCUGGAGGAACACCGGUGGCGAAGGCGGCAUCCUGGACCGGCAUUGACGCUGAGGAGCGAAAGCCAGGGGAGCAAACGGG
rnacentral:rRNA from 1 species